ACUUAAUGAAAAACUGACAAAUUGAAAAAUGUGACAUUUCUCAGUGCUCCCUCCUCUGUAACUCCCUCCUCCUUGUCCUAUUAUGGACACCGUACAACAGGGUUCAGUGAGACACUGCGCGUAAACAGCACGGAGAACACAUGGCUUCAAAACAAACCCAGAAAACAAAAUCUGGCACUUCAGACAGCAAUUUACAGAGGAAGACAUGUCAGAAUUGCUUUUUCACUUGUCAGGAAGGGACAAUUCGGACAAUUAUUUGCUGUCAUCUGACGAAGAGGAAGAGGCGAUUUCUCCGGGAAUUGAUGCCUCAUUGGAGUUAGACUCAGAGUGCAGACUGCCCUCUGAAACAUAGAAGAGUAUCCUUCCACACCUACAGCCCCGGGCAAUGCGCAAAUACCUGUUGGACCGGUUUUACAGAGGGCGUGACAGACUGAUGGCUCCAGGUUCCCAGCAGGAGACAGAGAUGAACAGAUGGAAAGAUAAAUAACCGCUCCCACUCAGCCAAGUUCCCAUCCUGGCGCACUCCAGGGGUGCUUUUAAUAGGCAGAGCACUCCAGAGGGUUACGUGGUGCUUUGGUCUAAUUUCCCAACAUGUUGACAUUUUUUACCAACAUAUCAGUACGUGUGUUCUUUUUCGUAAUAAAUAAAUAAAUAAAUAAUAAAAAAUCUAGUUUAUUAAAUUAACAUUAUUAUUUGACUAGUUUUCCUUUUAAACAAAGUAAAUCUACAGCAUUGCAUGCAACAUUAGAAACGCUAAGCUUGUUAUUGUUUGUUUGGGUUGCCUUGCGUUAAAGGUGAACUAUAUGUAAUGGCUUUUUUUUAAUUUUUUUAUAUAUAUAUAGUUUUGCUAUUUCAGCGAGGUUAGGCUUCACAGUGUAUUUCUGCUGAAAAAGCACAGCAAUGUAGACUAAACCGAAAACCUGAAACCUUUUUUUCGUGGCAGAAAGGGGAUGUUAGACUAAGAGAACUUCACUAAAAUUAGGUACUUUUUGCAGUGUUACAUUACUAUCGAACCAAGAGCACAUUAAAACCAAAAUAAUGUAUGUACUAGAAGACACACUGGAGAGAAAAAGAAAAACGAACAAACAGUAGUACUUAAAUUGACUUUGCAGAGGAACAGAAAAGGCAGAUGUAUGAGCUCAUGGAGAAGGAGGUCAUGCAGAGAAGGUUGCAAAACAAAGAAACUAACUGCUCAAGUCAUUCACAGAUGUAUUUAAAGAAUCGAAGAAAUAAUUUAUUUUGGAAAGACUUUUACUGGGUUGAAUAAUUGUUGAAAAAAUAAAUUGUUCUAUUUUUGGAAAGUUUUUUCUUUAUUUUGCUGUAGAACAACCCUUACAUACAAUAGAAACAUCUUCAUUGCAAGCGUAAACUGCACUGUAGCCACCUCUAAAUAAAACAUGCAAUACAACAGUCACAGUACUGAGGAUCGGUGCUCUUAAUGCAGUUUUCAAUCUGUACAGGACUGUUGCAUGUGUUUGAAUUCACUGCUGCUAAAGCCAUGGUGUUGGCUGUCAAUGCAAGUGUAAUAGAGGCAUUAAACAGCAGCUUUUCUGUACAAUCUAUCAUAAAUUCAUCCAAAAACAGUGCUAGUGCUGUGUUUUUCCACCAUCUUGAAAGUUUUUUCUCUAACACACCAUUCAAUAAGAGCUAACUCACCUUACCUAAUACCAUGGCAGAGCGCCCUGCCUGUUGAACGCAGCACUGGACCAAGCUGGAUGCAAUCAGGAGCCUCAGCCAUUCCAGAUUUAUUUUAUUUGGUUUUUGAACUAGCAGGUGAACUGCAUCCCAUGCAGAUAGCAUCAUGGGUACUUACAUAUGACAGGCAUCACUUGCCACAGCCAGUUGCAGAGCUAGGUGAGACUGCUUCACAAUCCAA